UACGUAGGGGGCGAGCGUUGUCCGGAUUUAUUGGGCGUAAAGAGCUCGUAGGCGGUUUGGUAAGUUGGAUGUGAAAUCUCCAGGCUCAACUUGGAGGGGUCAUUCGAUACUGCCAUGACUAGAGUUCGGUAGGGGAGUGUGGAAUUCCUGGUGGAGCGGUGAAAUGCGCAGAUAUCAGGAGGAACACCCGUAGCGAAGGCGGCGCGCUGGGCCGGAACUGACGCUGAGGAGCGAAAGCGUGGGGAGCGAACAGG
rnacentral:rRNA from 1 species